AAGGAGCCUAUAAAUAUCUCAGGAAGGAGAACGGAGAGCCUUUUCCUGAGUGGUGCCUGCUUUGUUUAAGGGGUAAGCUCGCAGCGCUGCGGCAGGGCCUGGCAGCCAGGGACCUUGGCAGAAGCUAUAAUAAGAAUGUGGGGUUUUUAAAACUCUGGUCCUAUUGGCUGCCUCCAGUCCAGGCAUAGCUGGCUGGGAAGUCAAUACUCUCUCCACACUGCAGCUAAAUGACCGACCUGAGGAUAAUUGGGGUCAAUUGUCACACAGAGCAAGAAGGGACUGGAGCAGAAAGCUGGUCAACCUGCAUGCAGAUGGAGUUUCCUGUGACCGCCCCCACCUGCCAGGGACAGUAUGAGCCCAUGGGUAUCACCGGCAGGGUGGACCUCAUGUCCUCCACAGCCAGCACACAGAAGUGGAGCCAUGCUGGGGCCAAACCAGGAGCCAGCCAGGCAGACCCAGGCAGGAGAGAACACAUGGAGAUGAGUAACCACCGCAGGCUGGCACUCAGUGAGGCAGUUUACUGGCCAUGA
rnacentral:lncRNA from 1 species